GGAGUAAUGUAUGGGGAUCUGCCUGAUGGCGGGGGAUAACUACUGGAAACGGUAGCUAAUACCGCAUAAUGUCUGCGGACCAAAGCGGGGGACCUCCGGGCCUCGCGCCAUCAGAUGAACCCAUAUGGGAUUAGCUUGUAGGUAAGGUAACGGCUUACCUAGGCGACGAUCCCUAGCUGGUCUGAGAGGAUGAUCAGCCACACUGGGACUGAGACACGGCCCAG
rnacentral:rRNA from 1 species